CGUUCGCCACAAUGACGUUUGCGAAUUCUCGCGGCGAUCAGCUCAAUAUCUCUUUCACAAACGAAGAUCUUUGUACUCAUCUUGCGUUAAUGUAGACAGCGAGUCCCCCUCCUUUCUUCUUCCCGCACUUUUUGGCAUCUCUGUCAGGUCUUACCGUAGUAAAACCAGGAAAGCCAAUUCUGGAUCCACAAGGCAAGGUCUUCUUGGAUCCCAUGCUUCAUUACCUUCUGAGGAACAGAGUCUAUAGAAGUGAGGAAGAGUGACAUCAACUUCAUGGACCUUCUACAGAUUGCAGCCAAGGAGGUGUUUGCUGUCCAGACUCAAAUCAGGGUGGAUUGGACCCUGUGGAAGGUGUUACUAAUGUGCCACAACUCUGAGGGGCCAAAGUGUACAAAGUAGCCCCCUUCUUUUUGAGAAUCACAAGAUCGCUAUUAAUUCGGGUCUGGGACCCAGGAAAUGAGAGAGAGAGAGAUUCAAAAUACACAGGGUUUGGAAUGUGUCCUGGCCUCAGCGAGACAAAGUCCCGGAUAAGGGCCAUUAUCUCUUGGAGACGGAAUUGUGUAUUGAGUACUGUACUAUUCAUUGAAACCCCUCAGGGGGUAACCAGAGUGGGCUGGUUGAGGGAUUGCAUCAUCCCAACCUGAUUGACAUCUGAGACCCCUUGAGUAAGGAUAAAAGAGGGUCUGGGGAACCCCUUUAGACACACCAGGAGAAACGUUAGAAAUCCCGUGACAGCGUUUAAUAGCGACAGCCAGUGAGGCUCACAUGCAUCCUGUUCCCUUGCCUGGGAAUUGGCGGGCUCACCACGGAAGAACGGCUUUAGCUAAAGGAGAGGCCACAAGUGACCGGCCACACCAACGGAACUCUCGAAGGUUCAAAAUCAUAAAAAGGAAAAGCCGGCAAGUUUCUAAAAAUCUCUCUCUUGACUCCAACCAAAGGCUGCAGCCUGCAUGAACUGAGUGACUUUUAUAUUUCCAUCGGACAAUACAUUAU